rnacentral:tRNA from 13 species
GCGCCGGUAGUUCAACGGUCAGAAUAGCUGUUUCCCAAACAGUUGACCCGCGUUCGACUCCCUGCCGACGCA